rnacentral:rRNA from 1 species
UACGGAGGAUGCGAGCGUUAUCCGGAUUUAUUGGGUUUAAAGGGUGCGUAGGCGGACGCUUAAGUCAGCGGUGAAAUUGCGGGGCUCAACCUCGUCGAGCCGUUGAAACUGGGUGCCUUGAGUGGGCGAGAAGUACGCGGAAUGCGUGGUGUAGCGGUGAAAUGCAUAGAUAUCACGCAGAACUCCGAUUGCGAAGGCAGCGCACCGGCGCCCAACUGACGCUGAAGCACGAAGGCGUGGGUAUCGAACAGG